ACUGGACAGCUCUGGGAGCUCUCCUGUGGCAUGACUGUGCCAACCUGAUGGCUUUCACCCGCUCACCACCACCCUGCUGGACAGAGGAACUGCACUGGCUGGACCUGUUGUGCCUGUCACACCAUAACCUGGCUCCUUGUCCAUCCCAUCCUGUGCCACACUGAGUGACCUCUGCUCGCUGCUGGAGGGGUGAGAUGAUGCUGACAGCCCUGGGAGGUGCAGUUGAAUUUCUUUUGGAUGCGAAACAAGAGUGGAAAAGCACAGCCCUGAAGUUUAUUGGUACCUGGAAAUUGAGGCUCAGAGUGAAAUCCUGUCACAGGACAUGGAGCAGAGUGUGGUAUUCUUGCACAGGGAAGGUGCACCCCAGCCCUUUUUUCUUCCAGUGCAGCAGCAAAAGUGCCACCGACCACUGUAAGAUGCUCCCGCCCUCCCAAGCUGCCAGCUGCUGCACUGCAAGGCACAAAGCAUUAAGGAAAAUUGUGGUGUCAUUAAUGUGAUGAGUAAAUUGGCAUCUGGGGGUGUCAGCAUGAAGAGCAAUGCUCUCACAUCCUCGUCCCUGCCACCCCCAUGGUCCUGCCCCUCAGCCCUGUCCCA